rnacentral:rRNA from 1 species
UACAGAGGUCUCAAGCGUUGUUCGGAUUCAUUGGGCGUAAAGGGUGCGUAGGUGGCGGGGUAAGUCAGAUGUGAAAGCCCCGGGCUCAACCUGGGAAUUGCAUUUGAGACUGUGUAGCUAGGGUGCGGAAGAGGGAAGCGGAAUUUCCGGUGUAGCGGUGAAAUGCGUAGAUAUCGGAAGGAACACCAGUGGCGAAAGCGGCUUCCUGGUCCAGCACCGACGUUCAGGCACGAAAGCGUGGGGAGCAAACAGG